UUGCCAGACUCCUACGGGAGGCAGCAGUGGGGAAUAUUGCACAAUGGGGGAAACCCUGAUGCAGCGACGCCGCGUGAGUGAAGAAGUAUUUCGGUAUGUAAAGCUCUAUCAGCAGGGAAGAAGUUGACGGUACCUGAGUAAGAAGCCCCGGCUAACUACGUGCCAGCAGCCGCGGUAAUACGUAGGGGGCAAGCGUUAUCCGGAUUUACUGGGUGUAAAGGGAGCGCAGGCGGCGCGCCAAGUCUGGUGUGAAACCCCGGGGCUCAACCCCGGGACUGCAUUGGAAACUGGCGGGCUGGAGUGUCGGAGGGGCAGGCGGAAUUCCUGGUGUAGCGGUGAAAUGCGUAGAUAUCAGGAGGAACAUCGGUGGCGAAAGCGCUUUACUGGACCAUUAUUGACGCUGAGGAACGAAAGCCAGGGGAGCAAAUGGGAUUAGAUACCCCAGUA
rnacentral:rRNA from 1 species